AUAAUUACAGGUAUACGUGUCCCCUAAACAACGCAUGGUAAAACCCCCCCCCAAAAAAAAAAAAAAAAAAAAAAAAGAAAAAGAAAAAGCAUUUCCACACAUAUUCUCUCUCUCUCUCUCUCUCUCUCUCAUUGAGCCCCCAGGCAAGCAAAGGGGAUCAAAAAAUCUAGGAAAAGAGCCUUCUUUUCACAUAAUUUUCUGCCUUCAAGUCUCUUCAGUUUCAACUGGUAAGCGCCCUUUGCUUGUUUUUCUCAAUACUUGGUACUUUCUCUUUUCAUUGUUUACAAACAAGGGGCUAAUGAUAAGAAUCGUCUACUAGCUACUAUACCCGGAUGUUCUGUUUCCUGUCAUAGCUGAGGUUCUUCUUGUUCUUUUUUUUCUUUUAGUUGGUUUUGUUUACUGGAAGAAAGAGAAGGGGAACUGAAGGACACCCACGUUUGUUGUUAGUCUGAGAGGGAUUGCCUCGGAUCCAGGGAACCCAAGUAUUAUGCCAAAAAGGCUUCAACUUUUUUAGGGUUNNNNN
rnacentral:lncRNA from 1 species